rnacentral:rRNA from 1 species
UAGGGAAUAAAGUGGGUCACGUGUGACUUUUUGCAUGUACCUUAUGAAUAAGGACCGGCUAAUUCCGUGCCAGCAGCCGCGGUAAUACGGAAGGUCCGGGCGUUAUCCGGAUUUAUUGGGUUUAAAGGGAGCGUAGGCCGGAGAUUAAGCGUGUCGUGAAAUGUAGACGCUCAACGUCUGCACUGCAGCGCGAACUGGUUUCCUUGAGUACGCACAAAGUGGGCGGAAUUCGUGGUGUAGCGGUGAAAUGCUUAGAUAUCACGAAGAACUCCGAUUGCGAAGGCAGCUCACUGGAGCGCAACUGACGCUGAAGCUUGAAAGUGCGGGUAUCGAACAGGAUUAGAUACCCUGGUAGU